GAUGAACGCUGGCGGCGUGCCUAAUACAUGCAAGUCGAGCGAACGGACGAGAAGCUUGCUUUUCUGAUGUUAGCGGCGGACGGGUGAGUAACACGUGGAUAACCUACCUAUAAGACUGGGAUAACUUCGGGAAACCGGAGCUAAUACCGGAUAAUAUUUUGAACCGCAUGGUUCAAAAGUGAAAGACGGUCUUGCUGUCACUUAUAGAUGGAUCCGCGCUGCAUUAGCUAGUUGGUAAGGUAACGGCUUACCAAGGCAACGAUGCAUAGCCGACCUGAGAGGGUGAUCGGCCACACUGGAACUGAGACACGGUCCGACUCCUACGGGAGGUAGCAGUAGGGAAUCUUCCGCAAUGGGCGAAAGCCUGACGGAGCAACGCCGCGUGAGUGAUGAAGGUCUUCGGAUCGUAAAACUCUGUUAUUAGGGAAGAACAUAUGUGUAAGUAACUGUGCACAUCUUGACGGUACCUAAUCAGAAAGCCACGGCUAACUACGUG
rnacentral:rRNA from 1 species